rnacentral:rRNA from 1 species
GUGAAUCAUCGAGUCUUUGAACGCACCUUGCGCUCUCAGGUAUUCCGGAGAGCAUGUCUGUUUGAGUGUCAUGAACUCUUCAACCUACCGAUUUCUAGUAAAUCGGAUUAGUGUUUGGAUUUUGAACGCUUGCUGGCCUUUAUUGGCGAAGCUCGUUCGUAAAUGAUUAGCAUCUCAUAUUCGAAAAUCGGAUUGACUCAGUGUAAUAGAUCUAUUCGCUGAGGACGCUCUUUCGGGAGUGGCCGAGUUUUGUAAAGUAGAAGCUUCUAAUUCUAUUAGUCAACUUUAGAUUAGACCUCAGAUCAGGCAGGAUUACCCGCUGAACUUAAGCAUAUCAAUAAGGCGAGG